rnacentral:rRNA from 1 species
AGAGUUUGAUCCUGGCUCAGAACGAGCGCUGGCGGCAGGCUUAACACAUGCAAGUUGAACGUGAUUUGUUUGGUGCUUGCACCGAGCAAUGAAAGUAGCGCACUGGUGAGUAACACGUGGGAACGUACCUUUUGGUGGGGAACAACAGUUGGAAACGACUGCUAAUACCGCAUAAGCCCUGAGGGGGAAAGAUUUAUCGCCGAAAGAACGGCCCGCGGAAGAUUAGGUAGUUGGUGGGGUAACGGCCUACCAAGCCGACGAUCUAUAGCUGGUCUGAGAGGACGAUCAGCCACAUUGGAACUGAGACACGGUCCAAACUCCUACGGGAGGCAGCAGUGAGGAAUAUUGGGCAAUGGAGGCAACUCUGACCCAGCCAUGCCGCGUGAGUGAAGAAGGUUUUCGGAUUGUAAAGCUCUUUCGGGUGUGACGAUGAUGACGGUAGCACCUAAAGAAGCCCCGGCUAACUUCGUGCCAGCAGCCGCGGUAAUACGAAGGGGGCAAGCGUUGUUCGGAAUUACUGGGCGUAAAGGGAGUGUAGGCGGUUAUGUAAGAUAGUGGUGAAAUCCCAGAGCUUAACUUUGGAAUUGCCAUUAUGACUAUGUGGCUAGAAUUACAGAGAGGAUAGUGGAAUACCCAGUGUAGAGGUGAAAUUCGUAGAUAUUGGGUAGAACACCAGUGGCGAAGGCGACUAUCUGGCUGUAUAUUGACGCUGAGGCUCGAAAGCAUGGGGAUCAAACAGGAUUAGAUACCCUGGUAGUCCAUGCUGUAAACGAUGAGUGCUUGUUGUCGGUAUUGUAUCGGUGACGAAGUUAACGCGUUAAGCACUCCGCCUGGGGAGUACGGUCGCAAGAUUAAAACUCAAAGGAAUUGACGGGGACCCGCACAAGCGGUGGAGCAUGUGGUUUAAUUCGAUGCAACGCGAAGAACCUUACCAACUCUUGACAUCCUUAUCGGGGAGAUCAGAGAUGAUUUCUUUCAGUUAGGCUGGAUAAGUGACAGAUGCUGCAUGGCUGUCGUCAGCUCGUGU